rnacentral:rRNA from 1 species
ACUCAAGCUAUGCAUCCAACGCGUUGGGAGCUCUCCCAUAUGGUCGACCUGCAGGCGGCCGCACUAGUGAUUACGGUUACCUUGUUACGACUUCACCCCAGUCAUGAAUCACAAAGUGGUAAGCGCCCUCCCGAAGGUUAAGCUACCUACUUCUUUUGCAACCCACUCCCAUGGUGUGACGGGCGGUGUGUACAAGGCCCGGGAACGUAUUCACCGUAGCAUUCUGAUCUACGAUUACUAGCGAUUCCGACUUCAUGGAGUCGAGUUGCAGACUCCAAUCCGGACUACGACGUACUUUAUGAGGUCCGCUUGCUCUCGCGAGUUCGCUUCUCUUUGUAUACGCCAUUGUAGCACGUGUGUAGCCCUACUCGUAAGGGCCAUGAUGACUCGACGUCAUCCCCACCUUCCUCCGGUUUAUCACCGGCAGUCUCCUUUGAGUUCCCACCAUUACGUGCUGGCAACAAAGGAUAAGGGUUGCGCUCGUUGCGGGACUUAACCCAACAUUUCACAACACGAGCUGACGACAGCCAUGCAGCACCUGUCUCAGAGUUCCCGAAGGCACUAAGCUAUCUCUAGCGAAUUCUCUGGAUGUCAAGAGUAGGUAAGGUUCUUCGCGUUGCAUCGAAUUAAACCACAUGCUCCACCGCUUGUGCGGGCCCCCGUCAAUUCAUUUGAGUUUUAACCUUGCGGCCGUACUCCCCAGGCGGUCGACUUAACGCGUUAGCUCCGGAAGCCACGCCUCAAGGGCACAACCUCCAAGUCGACAUCGUUUACAGCGUGGACUACCAGGGUAUCUAAUCCUGUUUGCUCCCCACGCUUUCGUACCUGAGCGUCAGUCUUUGUCCAGGGGGCCGCCUUCGCCACCGGUAUUCCUCCAGAUCUCUACGCAUUUCACCGCUACACCUGGAAUUCUACCCCCCUCUACAGACUCUAGCUUGCCAGUUUCAAAUG